UUUGUGGUGAGAUUUGGAAGGGGGAGUGGUGGCAGCUCUGGGGAGUGGGGCACUUCUGGAAUGAAAACUGGGGACCCUGGACUCCAGAGGUCCUGGGAUUUUGCUUGGAGACAGAGUCUUCAGCCCCCACAAGCCCAAAGAACUCUGGCUCACCUAGAAAGAGCCACACAGUUUGGACUCAACUGCCCAGACCAAGUGCCACACUUAGCAAUGUACCGGGGCCUGCAGCCUCUGAGAGGCCAGACACCCGGCUUCAUGGCUGUCUGUUCUCUACUCUGCGCUCAAGGCAAGAAGGAGACCUCCCUCUGCAAAGCUUCCAGUCAUUGCCCCAGCAGAGACCUCCUCUGGAUGUGAGAGGAACAUGCUAGAACUUCCAUUUCAAGUUCUUCUUGUCUAGAAAAGGGAAUGUUCGAUAUUUAGCAUAUGGACUGAAGAUACACAAGCAUAUGAUUUAAUAAAUAGGAGCGUUCUGG